rnacentral:rRNA from 1 species
UGAGGAAUAUUGGGCAAUGCCCGCAAGGGUGACCCAGCAACGCCGCGUGGAGGAUGAAUGUCGUAAGAUUGUAAACUCCUGUUAGAGGGGAAGAAUAGUACCGGUUGGACCGGUAUAUGACUGUACCCUCAGAGAAAGCCCCGGCUAACUACGUGCCAGCAGCCGCGGUAAUACGUAGGGGGCAAGCGUUGUCCGGAUUUACUGGGAGUAAAGGGCGCGCAGGCGGGAUAAAAAGUCAGUGGUGAAAUCCUACAGCUUAACUGUAGAACUGCCUUUGAUACUUUUAUUCUUGAGUUCGGGAGAGAGAGACGGAAUUCCAGGUGUAGUGGUGAAAUACGUAGAUAUCUGGAAGAACACCAGUUGCGAAGGCGGUCUCUUGAUCCGACACUGACGCUGAGGCGCGAAAGCGUGGGGAGCAAACA